AUGCAAGUCGCACGAGAAAGCGGGAGCAAUCUCGCAAGUAAAGUGGCGUACGGGUGAGUAACACGUGGAUUAUCUACCCUUGAGUGGGGAAUAACGCUGGGAAACCGGCGCUAAUACCGCAUAUUCCUGAGAAGGGAAAGCAGCAAUGCGCUCGAGGAGGAGUCCGCGGCCGAUUAGCUAGUUGGCAGGGUAAAAGCCUACCAAGGCUAUGAUCGGUAGCCGGCCUGAGAGGGCACACGGCCACACUGGCACUGAAACACGGGCCAGACUCCUACGGGAGGCAGCAGUGGGGAAUCUUGCACAAUGGGGGAAACCCUGAUGCAGCGACGCCGCGUGAGCGAUGAAGCCCUUCGGGGUGUAAAGCUCUUUCGGCAGGGAAGAUUAUGACGGUACCUGCAGAAGCAGCUGCGGCUAACUACGUGCCAGCAGCCGCGGUAAUACGUAGGCAGCAAGCGUUGUUCGGAGUUACUGGGCGUAAAGGGUGUGUAGGCGGCCUGUUAAGUUCCGUGUGAAAUCUCCCGGCUCAACCGGGAGGGUGCGCGGAAAACUGGCGGGCUAGAGUACGGGAUGGGAGAGUAGAAUUCCUGGUGUAGCGGUGAAAUGCGUAGAUAUCAGGAGGAAUACCGGUGGUGUAGACGGCUCUCUGGACCGUAACUGACGCUGAGACACGAA
rnacentral:rRNA from 1 species